AGAAGGGUAAGCUAAUUAAGCUUUUGGGUCCAUGCCCCAACAAUGAAGGAAAAUCCCUCCUCUUCUA
rnacentral:tRNA from 1 species